rnacentral:piRNA from 1 species
AAAAAAAACUUACCACCGUUU